UCUAUCUCUUUUUAAUUUCUUUUGAAUAUAAAUUAAAUACUGUACUUAAUUGAUUUAUUAUUGCCCACUUGAAUUGUAUAGCCCUAGGUGCUGCAGUGUUCUUUAUGUAGAGCGCCAUAUUAAAAUGCUCAAUGUGUUUAGCAGUACUAUCCACUAUGGCGAAUUGUCUCUACUAAAGUUAAAAACUCAAUCAAGUGUGGUGGUGUAGGGAAGUAUUUUGUUUGUUUGAAAGCCUUACUGUGUCUGUGGCAGUUGAUUGAACAAACAGAAAAUUACCUGCUUUCGUCAAAGAAACCCAAAAGUGGCGCUGACAGCGCUCCAGUUGAAGCUGUCUCUGAGGAAAAUGUCAUCAACGAGGAAGCUGUCAUCAACGAGGAGGCUUAUAAUGAUGUGGAAGAAGUAGGAGGUUCUGACAAUGAGGAUUGAAUAGCAUUUUCCAUCUGAGUAAUCUAAUACUAAGUAGGGCUUUUGCUAUAUGGUACCCUCCUUUCCAAUAUGAUUCAAUAUCUAUUUUUGUUUGUCAGUGGGAGCUGUUAGGUUACCCAAUUACACUACACCUGCAAUGCAUCACCUUAGAAUCUAAGACAAAAGUUUUAAACUUGUGUACUUGCUUGUAGAAACCUGACAGUGAGUGCAUGAGUAGCAGAAACGGUCAGUCAAAAACAGGCUUAAUAUUAGGGCUUAACCGAUAAUCUGAUUGGACAGGCUAUAUAUGCAUAUGCCGAUAUGUAACCAAUUCACAAUACAACCUGAUUGUAAUGCGUAAACUCCCAAAACAUGGGCAAAAAAAUCUCAAAAAUCAAAGCAGAAUUAUAACAAAAUUUAAAAUAACACUGUCAUAGUAGUCUUUCUUUAAACUUUCCAGUGAACUUUUCAUCAUAGGUGAGGGCAGUCUGACAGUUAUAGAAAAUACAUGCAUGAAACUCAAUGUUUAUAUCCCUGACAGAGAGAAAGAUAGGAGCCUGGAAAUGAAAUUGUGAGAUCUAACAUCGGUGGAAGUAAAGUAUUGUAUUCCUUUCAUUUGAGAAAUUAUAAUUUGCACUGGAUGAUGAAGCUAAUCCUGGUUGGAGAACAUUACUAAAUUUGUAUUCUCUUGUAAUAAAGGACAAUUUCCACAUUC
rnacentral:lncRNA from 1 species